GUUUUCUAGGGUGAGGGUAAAGCUUGCUGCUGAGAGCCCCGUGUCUCUCGCUCAUGCGUUGCACUACUGCAAGGCCCGAUGACUUUAUACUAAAUGAAAUUUUAGCGUAAAAUAUUUUAUGUUUUUACAAAUAACAUUUUACCUCUGGCGCUAUCCCUACCAGUAGGGAUGGCAAUGGGCACCGCCCGCAGCGGAUUUGCCAUUACCAAACCCAAACCCGCACAAAAUUUAAAUUACCAAACCCACCCGCAACCCGCAGCGGGUUUUAAUUUUUUUUAAAAAACCCACCUGCAGCGGGUUUUAACAAUUACCAAACCCGCAAUGGUAUCCGACGGAUUUUUUGUGGGUUUUCGUAUUUAAAAUCACAUAUGUUUAAUAUAUAAAUUUAUAAUAAUAACCUCAAAUUCCAUAUAACAUACUCAAUUUUAUAUUUAAACUAUGUAAAUGAAAAAUUAAAAUUUCCACAUUAAUUCAACACAAAUUCUCAAAUUUAAAUAUAAAUUACACAAAUCCAUUUAAAAAACACAAACUAGUAUCUAAAAAUAAUAUUUACAUUUCUAUUAUCAUUUAAAACAAGCUCCAAAAGAAGAUAUUCAUUUCAUUCACCACCAUAAGCACCCAUCCAACACAAUACCUAUAAUAAUAAUGAAGAUUAAUAUUUUCAAAUACUAAUUCGAAGGGAAAUGCCUUUAGUUUUCUUUAGAUUAUGACUUUAGAAUAGGAGAUGGGCCACAUACACACAUACACAACUUUGAGCCUUUGGCUAUUUGGUAGUUUAAUUAAUGACCUUAUUUUCUUUAUGCAUUUUUAGAUUAAAAUUAAAUUAAAAAUUUUUGGACAAAAUAUUGCGGGUUUGGUGGAUAUCAAUGCGGGUAUCCACCGGAUAUAAGGUUAAUACCAAACCCACCCGCAUCCAUGUGCGGGUUUUAAUUUAUAAUAUUAAACCCGCCCGCAACGGGUAAAAUUACCCGCAACGGGAUGGUUUUGACCGGUGGGUUUGGGCGGUUUGCGGGUUUGCAGGUACAAUUGCCAUCUCUACCUACCAGAAUCUUUAUCAAAAUUUUAAGAGUAAAUAAAUCAUAUUUUAAGUUCUUACAAAGAUAAUUUACCUCAUAAUUUGUCUAAAAGCUUUUUGAGGGUGUAAAGAAUUGUUAGGAGCUUAAAUAAAGUGUGAUGAAAACAAAUCUUCAACAUUAUUCAUAAAGAUCCUUCCAGCAAAGAGUAUUCAGUUUCCCUCACAUUGUAUGUAAUAUGAUCAUUCUGCUAUAAGAAGAUUGGUUUUCAGACUCAUGUUCACUAC
rnacentral:lncRNA from 1 species